rnacentral:rRNA from 1 species
GAUGAACGCUGGCGGCGUGCCUAAUACAUGCAAGUCGAGCGAAUGGAUUAAGGGCUUGCUCUUUGAAGUUAGCGGCGGACGGGUGAGUAACACGUGGGUAACCUGCCCAUAAGACUGGGAUAACUCCGGGAAACCGGGGCUAAUACCGGAUAACAUUUUGAACCGCAUGGUUCGAAAUUGAAAGGCGGCUUCGGCUGUCACUUAUGGAUGGACCCGCGUCGCAUUAGCUAGUUGGUGAGGUAACGGCUCACCAAGGCAACGAUGCGUAGCCGACCAGGGGGGGUGGUAGGCCAGACUGGGACUGAGACACGGCCCAGACUCAUACGGGAGGCAGCAGUAGGGAAUCUUCCGCAAUGGACGAAAGUCUGACGGAGCAACGCCGCGUGAGUGAUGAAGGCUUUCGGGUCGUAAAACUCUGUUGUUAGGGAAGAACAAGUGCUAGUUGAAUAAGCUGGCACCUUGACGGUACCUAACCAGAAAGCCACGGCUAACUACGUGCCAGCCGCCGCGGUAA